AUGCUGUCUCGGAUCGCAAGCUCUCGGAGACUGCUCCACGAUUUCUGGCCUCGCUUCUCCACUGGUAUGAUGGGAGACUUAGCCUCAAAGCUCAUCAGACGCGAGGACGCUAUAGCCGGCCGCAGCGAACCGCUGAAAGUAGCAGGUCCUCUCCUCGGGGGUCAGUAUUUGCCGUUUCUUCCAGCCCAGCCCAUAAGAAGCACUUGCCUGGGAAACACUGCUGCUUUGGGAGGGGAAGUCACGGGAAGUGCGCAGGGAACAUUGAACACAACUGCUUCUGUACAAGAGGAAUGGUGUGUGUGUGUGUGUGGGGGGGGGGCACCUUCCAGCCCCAGCCUUGGGUGUUCUCCGAGGUUGCUUUCCUUCUCUAGGUCACCCCUUCUUUCCUUUUCUGGCAUACUCAAGAAGUCAGGUCCUGCUGCUUUUUUUGGAGCUUUGCCCUUUAGAGCUUAUACUGGGCUGAGUAUGUCGGGUAAAAGCUCUCUGUAGAAAUGGAGAAUAAAAUCUCAGGGUUCUUCAGCUCCCCCCUUUCCUCCGACCAAAGAAUUUUGUGGGAAGGGACUCAGAGGGCAUCUGUCCAAGUCGUACCUGAGCAAGCUUUCCAGACAAGUGAGCAUUCAGCUUCUGCCUGAAGCCUUCUAGCAGUGGAAAAGUCAUUACUUCCCACUGCAGCUUGGUGCGCUUGUGGACAGUUGUGUUGUUUGGAAAUUUUUCCCUUGUGGAAAACCCAGAUCUUCCUUAUAGUGUCCAUCUGUUGCACUUGUCCUAUCAAAUGUAUUGCUGAAAGCCAAGUAUGCCAUAUCUACAACAUAUCGAUGGUGGAUUUACCAGCAGAAAAAACCUAAACCCUUUUCCAUAUGAUAGCUCUUGAAGUUAGAACAACCAAGCUAUUCAAAAGUGCAAUUAAUGGAUUACUUUUCUCAAGAGUUAUUUAGGUGAAAGCUGGACAACCAGUAUUGGGAAAUGUUAAAACAGCGAUUUCUGUUUAGGUACAUGUCCUACAUGACCUCUGAAAUCCCUUUGAACUCUGAACUUGAUAUUUUAAGACAGCUAUCAUAUAUCCUAUUCCCCCUUCAAUCUUCUAACAGGUAAAAAUCACCAAUUCCUCCCACUGAUCCUUGUACAGGACAGUCCUCAACCCCUUCACUAUUAUGGUCACCUUUCUCUGGAUAGACUCCAGCUGGUCAGUAUUCUUCCUAAUAAUAUAUGAUGCCCAGAAUUAAAAGCUACAAUCAGAUGUGGUCUGGUCUGGACAAAACACUAUGGGAUUGUCACUCCUUAUGAAAGCUUGCUUAGCUACUUUGCUGGAUUUAGGAUUUAGAAUGUCCUAGAAUAAGCCAAGCUUAUAGUUAAAUGCAAAAGUUGUAAUUAUUUUCAUAGUGAACUUCUUGCAGAUGUUUAUCAUCAGCAAAAAGUAAAUGAUCAUAAAAUGAUGUUUCCCAUUGCCUUUGAAUCCAUGAUAUGACUAGUUUUGUCAAUUUCCUUACUAUUC
rnacentral:lncRNA from 1 species